rnacentral:rRNA from 2 species
UCAGGACGAACGCUGGCGGCGUGCCUAAUACAUGCAAGUCGAACGAACUCUGGUAUUGAUUGGUGCUUGCAUCAUGAUUUGCAUUUGAGUGAGUGGCGAACUGGUGAGUAACACGUGGGAAACCUGCCCAGAAGCGGGGGAUAACACCUGGAAACAGAUGCUAAUACCGCAUAACAACUUGGACCGCAUGGUCCGAGUUUGAAAGAUGGCUUCGGCUAUCACUUUUGGAUGGUCCCGCGGCGUAUUAGCUAGAUGGUGGGGUAACGGCUCACCAUGGCAAUGAUACGUAGCCGACCUGAGAGGGUAAUCGGCCACAUUGGGACUGAGACACGGCCCAAACUCCUACGGGAGGCAGCAGUAGGGAAUCUUCCACAAUGGACGAAAGUCUGAUGGAGCAACGCCGCGUGAGUGAAGAAGGGUUUCGGCUCGUAAAACUCUGUUGUUAAAGAAGAACAUAUCUGAGAGUAACUGUUCAGGUAUUGACGGUAUUUAACCAGAAAGCCACGGCUAACUACGUGCCAGCAGCCGCGGUAAUACGUAGGUGGCAAGCGUUGUCCGGAUUUAUUGGGCGUAAAGCGAGCGCAGGCGGUUUUUUAAGUCUGAUGUGAAAGCUUCGGCUCAACCGAUAGAAGUGCAU